AUUGAACGCUGGCGGCAGGCCUAACACAUGCAAGUCGAACGAGUGGCGGACGGGUGAGUAAUGUCUGGGAAACUGCCUGAGGGAGGGGGAUAACUACUGGAAACGGUUGCUAAUACCGCAUACCAUCAGAUGUGCCCAGAUGGGAUUAGCUAGUGGGUGGGGUACCGGCUAACCAAGGCGACGAUCCCUAGCUGGUCGGAGAGGAUGACCGGCCACACGGGAACGGGGAAACGGUCCAGACUCCUACGGAGGGCAGCAGUGGGGAAUAUUGGACAAUGGGGGAAAGCCGGAUGCAGCAAGGCCGCGGAUAUGAAGAAGGCCUUCGGGCUGUAAAGUACUUUCAGCGGGGAGGCGUUACCCGCAGAAGAAGCACCGGCUAACUACGUGCCAGCAGCCGCGGUAAUUC
rnacentral:rRNA from 1 species